CCGGAGGCCCAUCUUGGGGCCGGCAUCUCGGCGAAGCGGCAUCCGCCGACGGCAGUCUUGUACCCAUGUUGCUCAGAGGAGGAUGUGGCUAUGAGAA
rnacentral:sRNA from 1 species